rnacentral:misc_RNA from 1 species
GAUGAAGAACGCAGCGAAGUGCGAUAAGUAAUGUGAAUUGCAGAAUUCCGUGAAUCAUCGAAUCUUUGAACGCAUAUUGCACUCUCUGGUAUUCCGGAGAGUAUGCCUGUUUGAGGGUCAGUUAAAUAAAAAUCGGGGUUGUUGCUGCCAUUCGUGGUGACGCUUCGGAAUUGGGUCGUCUUCACCCUUCGGUUAAGUGACCUAAAAUUUUACGUGAUUUUCGAACGUAUUUGAAUUUUUUACUUACGUUUGCAAAUAUCGAAUACUAGAUUGCGAUCAUUAUCCAUGACUCGCGUCCAUAAUUUUUCAUCUAAUGGCCUCAAUCAGGUAAGAGUACCCGCUGAACUUAAGCAUAUCAAUAAGCGGAGGA